GAGGGAGACACCGGCUUACGACGUCAAAGGAGUACAGACACACACACACACACACACACACACACACACACACACGCUCACACACAGUCAGAGGGAGAGAGGGAAGAGGAGAGGACAAGCAACCAGACUGCCAAUUCCCUACGGUCUACUGAAGGAAGCCUAAAUCCAUCCAUCACAACACUCUUCAUUCAGCAAAGCCAAGGGGAGAGAUUUUGUUUAUUUUUAUACGAGGUGUGGAAAAAAAAACCCAGAGCAAGAGCAGGAAACAACAGACAGAGGUAGAAAACACGCUCAUGCUGAAUAAAGGACCGUCGCUGGAUGUUACUUCUGUCUUAAAGGCCUAACUUGUUACAGGAUUUCUCACAGAUGAACUGAAUCAUUGAGCUUCAAUAACAAAACAACAGCGGCGGGAAGAAGAAAAGCCUUUGAUCACGCCGAUUCUUUUCCACGAGCAGCACCACAGACUUCUCAAUGAAGGAGCCUGACGCAAUCAAGCUCUUCAUCGGGCAAAUACCCCGAAACCUGGAGGAGAAGGACCUGAAGCCCAUCUUCGAGCAGUUUGGAAAGAUCUACGAGCUGACGGUGAUAAAGGACAAAUACACAGGGAUGCAUAAAGGAUGUGCCUUCCUGACAUAUUGUGCACGUGAAUCUGCCCUCAAAGCCCAGAAUGCACUGCACGAGCAGAAGACGCUACCAGGGAUGAACCGUCCAAUCCAGGUGAAGCCUGCAGACAGCGAGAGCAGAGGGGAAGACAGGAAGCUGUUUGUGGGCAUGCUGGGGAAGCAGCAGACGGACAGUGACGUGAGAAAGAUGUUUGAGCCCUUUGGGAGCAUAGAGGAGUGCACGGUGCUCCGGGGGCCCGACGGCACCAGCAAAGGUUGUGCAUUUGUAAAGUAUCAGAACAACGCCGAGGCCCAGGCCGCCAUCAACGCUCUGCAUGGGAGUCGUACUUUACCUGGCGCCUCAUCCAGCCUGGUGGUGAAGUUUGCAGAUUCAGAGAAGGAGCGGGGGCUCAGGCGGAUGCAGCAGGUGGCCUCGCAGUUGGGUGUCAUCAGUCCCAUGACCCUGCACCUCGGGGCCUACAACGCCUACACACAGGCUCUGAUGCAGCAGCAGGCUCUGGUGGCGCAGUCGGCCUACCUCUCUCCUGUUGCCACGGUGGCGGCGGUUCAGAUGCAGCAGCUCGCCGCCCUCAACCCCAGCAGCAUCAUUGCCACGCCGAUCGCAUCCAUCACCCCCUCCUCAGGUACCAGCACUCCACCCUCAAUGACCGCCACACCUGUUCCUGCUCUGCCUCCACCCCUCACAGUGAACAGCUACCAAUCCGUGCAAGCUCCACCCAACAGCCAAUCAGCAACCGAAGCCCUGUACACCAACGGAGUUCAUGCCUAUCAAGCUCAGAGUCCAGUCCUGGACCCCCUGCAGCAAGCUUAUGCGGGCAUGCAGCACUAUACAGCCACCUAUCCAGCUGCGUACAGCCUGGUGGGACAGCCGUUUCCCCACCAGCCAACCCUGGUGGCCCAGCAGCCUCAGCAGCCACAGCAACUCCAGCAACGAGAAGGUCCUGAGGGCUGUAACAUCUUCAUCUACCACCUGCCGCAAGAGUUCACCGACUCUGAGAUCUUGCAGAUGUUCCUGCCCUUUGGAAACGUCAUCUCUGCAAAGGUCUUUGUCGACCGUGCCACAAACCAGAGUAAAUGCUUUGGUUUUGUCAGCUUUGACAACCCAUCCAGCGCCCAGACUGCCAUCCAGGCCAUGAACGGCUUCCAGAUCGGCAUGAAGAGGCUGAAGGUGCAGCUGAAGAGGCCCAAGGAUGCCAACAGGCCUUACUAAAGGAGACCGUCCCGUCCAUACAUAUAUCGUGGAGAUGUGCGUCGCUAUGGCUACGGUUGCCUAGCAACCGCUAAAACCUCCCCCCUUCCUUCUCACUGCGUUGAAAAAAACCUAAGAGUUCAAUCAAGAAAAACCACUUGGGAUGUCCCAGCCUUUUUUGGUUGUUUGACCAACCGUAUAGCACAGGAGCAACACUUCACAAAAAGCAGUAUCACGUUCAUGCGCUUGCAAAACGCAACCACGACAGCAGUAAUAUCAGCAACAAAUAACUUCAACUGAGUCAGCAUCCGCAGUAUCAGAAGUGCUCCAGAUUUCCUAUCAUUCCACAGCUGGAUUCAUUUAUAUAAUGUACAUACUCUACAAGAUCUACAUGUUAAGAAAAAGCAUAUCACUGAUGUUAUUCUACUGAACAGGGUUUACUGUAUAGUGUGAUUUUGUGGUCCAUGGCGUCAACAGAAAGCCAGUGUGCACAGUCAGAGGCAAAAGAAAAUACUAUUCUGUAUGAUUACCAUUGGUAAUAUUGUUAUGUAGAGUUAGUUUUAUUAUUUAUACGUAAAUUAAAAAACAUGGGGUAAUGAAACUGAAAGAGAAAUGGAUUUCCUCUCACUGUACAUACCUUGGUUUGAAACAGACUUCAAUUAAAAGUUCUCUGCUGCCACUACUUUUCAAAUUAACAUAGCGGAAGGAAGGGCUGGGAAUUUUUCUAUCUUGAUUUUUUACGUUUAAUUUAUUUGGUAAUCAAUUUGAUUAGAAGGGGGGUGGGGGAUGUGAGGAUUUCUUUUUUAAUUUAAGAAAAAAAAAGAAGAGGAUUCCUGUGGUCUUCAAGACAAUGAACACACUUAUAGAGUUUUUAAUUACAUAAAUGUAACUAUGGAAGUAAAAAAAAAAACAUGUUUCUUUAUUUAUUCUCUACAAUCACUGUUUUAAAACAUAUGUCUUUAAAAGAAAAUAAAGUACGGUUUA